UAAUCGUAAAUUCAAAUUUGUUUAUUUGAUUUAUUUAACUGUUCUUUUUGAAAACAAAAAAAAAAAUAAAUAAAACAGAGCAAAACGGAGCAAAACAAAAUAUAACAAAACAUAACAUAUGUAUCUAAAAUGUAUGCAUGCAUUACUUAAGUACAUAUGUACGAUUUUUUUUUAUUUAUUUUAUUUUUUUUAAAAGUAUAAAAAAAUGUCAGUUUUUUAAGGUUUUAUGUAUAAAUAGUUAAUGGUUGUAUUCACUGAUUUUACAGAAUAUUCUGUUAUUAUAUAUAUUUUUUUUUUUUUUUUUUUUUUUUUUUCAUUUGUUUAACUAAUUUGUUUGGCUUAUUUUGUUGGCUAAUAUUGUUGGCUAAUCUUGUUGGCUAAUCUUGUUGGCUAAUCUUGUUGGCUAAUCUUGUUGACUAACAUUGUUGAUUAAUAUUAUUGACUGACUAACCUUGUUAACUAAUAUUGUUGGAUAGUAAGGUUGUCUAUUCCUGUUGGUUAGUCCGAUUGACUAACCCGCUUGAUUAGACCGUUUUUUUUUUUUUUUAUUUUUAUUUUUUUUUUUCCCCCAUUUCUAAAGUGCCUUCAAAAUGAAUAGCUACAUUUGGGAAAAUACGUACUCGUUAGAGUUUUUAAGUGAAGAUUUUUACGACCUAAACAUUAGCACAAAAGAUAACGUAUACGAAACAGUAAAAAAUAAAAAGGAUGAUAAGGAAAUUGACAAUUUGAGCAUAAACAUCAGUAAUCACAUUGGUAUGUUUAUUCAAUUAUUAGAUUAUUUGUUAGGUAAAAUAAGUUAUAAGAAUAAUAAAAUAAAUGAUACUCUAAAUUAUAGGAAUAUGUCUGAUGUACUUAAUUUUAUUAAAACACAAUUAUAUAAUUGUGACUAUAGUUUAUUUUUAAGAUUAUAUUCAAUUUAUUAUACGUAUAAUCAUAGAAGAAAUGGUUAUUUAGAUGUUAAUAAUUUAUAUACAUUAAUUUUGGAUAUUAUUAAUAAAGUAGAAAACUUAAAUGAAAAUAAUUUUUUAAUACUACCAGGUGGUUUUUAUUUAUUUAAAGAAAAAAUGUUAAUUAAAAUAUUAUAUAUUAUACAUAAGAAAAAUAAUUUAUAUAGUUUUGCUGUUUUAAAUAAUUCUAUAUAUGGUACCCAAUAUCAUGCGUUUAAAGUAGAUGAAAUAGAAAAUGUGGGAAUCAUAUUAAGAGAUGUCAUAGUUUGUAUAAAAAAUAUACAUAAAAAUCAUUUAACAAACUCAUUUUUUUGGUUAUGCUUAUAUCGUUUAUAUAUUUUUCCGAAUGCAGAUAAUGUUGACAUAUUAUACCAAAUAUUAUUACCAUAUUUAAAUAAUUCCUUUUUAACAAAUAACUGGAAUUUGUAUGAUAACAAAACUAUAAAUAGUAGUAACCUUAAAGAUGUGACAUCUAAAAAGGAUGAAUUUGACACUAGUGUUGAUAUUAAUAAAUCGGGAAAUGUUAAUUUUCGUAUUUAUGAUGAGACCGGAGUAGGGUCUGGAUAUAAGUAUGACAAUAAUCGCACCAGUGUUAAAUUAAUGCAAAACAAUAACGGAAAGAAAGACAUGUUCGAUUUUGGUGAUUUUAGCAAUGAUAAUAAAAACGAAUGGAAUAUGAAUACGUACCAUAUUAAUGAUAGUAGUUAUACUACGUUUAAUGGUGUCAAUAAUUGGGAUAAUAAUAGUAAAUAUGACAACGACCACUAUUCAAAUGAUAAUCAGUUGCUAAAUUGCAAAAAUAAAACAAAAACACAAAAAAAAACAAAAAAACAAAAAAGUGACAGCAAUAAUGAAAAUAGUAACUAUGGAGGUAUAUAUGUAAAUAUUUAUAAAAAUAAAUUUACAUCUUUUUCAAUGAGUUUAUAUUACAGUAUAAUAUAUAUACUUAAAGUUUUGGACAUACAACAAGAAGAUAUUGAUGUUUUUAAAAUUUUUAUAUACUAUGGCAUAGUUUUAAAAUUGCAUGAUGAUUUGUUAAAAUAUGAUAAUGAAAUAAAAAAAAACGAUUUGAUGUUUAAUAAUUUUGUUGAUGGUCGCUCAAAAGAUGAGAUAAAAAAUCUUGAACUUGGAAAAAAAUGGUCUGGAGGAAUAAUUCAAAAUAGUGAGAAAAAAAGUUACAACGAUAGUGUUGAUCAACAGAAUUUUAUUAACUAUAAUAAGAGUUAUAAUAAAAACAUGCCUGAUGAUUCGGUAUGUAACAGUAGUAAUAGUGUUGGUAGUAAUAUUACAAGUUGUGAUAAUAAAUAUAAUAGUAAUAUGAUUUAUGGUAGUAGUAAUGAACGGAGCAGAGAAAAUAAGAGUAAUGUAAUGCUUAAACGAAUUGAUAACGUUUUUUUUGUUUUUUUAGACAUGAGCGUAAGAAAGUUGUGUGUAUUAUUUCAUUUAUAUUUUAGCAAGAUG
rnacentral:lncRNA from 1 species